AGUGAACGCUGGCGGUAGGCCUAACACAUGCAAGUCGAACGGCAGCACAGGAGAGCUUGCUCUCUGGGUGGCGAGUGGCGGACGGGUGAGGAAUACAUCGGAAUCUACUUUUUCGUGGGGGAUAACGUAGGGAAACUUACGCUAAUACCGCAUACGACCUACGGGUGAAAGCAGGGGACCUUCGGGCCUUGCGCGAUUGAAUGAGCCGAUGUCGGAUUAGCUAGUUGGCGGGGUAAAGGCCCACCAAGGCGACGAUCCGUAGCUGGUCUGAGAGGAUGAUCAGCCACACUGGAACUGAGACACGGUCCCGACUCCUACGGGAGGCAGCAGUGGGGAAUAUUGGACAAUGGGCGCAAGCCUGAUCCAGCCAUACCGCGUGGGUGAAGAAGGCCUUCGGGUUGUAAAGCCCUUUUGUUGGGAAAGGAAUCCAGCUGGCUAAUACCCGGUUGGGAUGACGGUACCCAAAGAAUAAGCACCGGCUAACUUCGUGCCAGCCGCCGCAGUAA
rnacentral:rRNA from 1 species